rnacentral:rRNA from 1 species
ACCACGAGAGUUUGUAACACCCGAAGCCGGUGGAGUAACCUUUUAGGAGCUAUCCGUCGAAGGUGGGACAAAUGAUUGGGGUGAAGUCGUAACAAGGUAGCCGUAUCUGAAGGUGCGGCUGGAUCACCUCCUUU